AUACCGAAGCUAGCGAGAUGCUAACUGGCUGGCUUAAUUCUGAUAAAAUCAAGCUUGGCUUGGCUCAGCCGGCUUGAGCUACUCAGCUAAUUAAAAGGCUGAUUUGGCUGAGUUUGGCUUGAAAAAUUGCAUUUAAUUCAAUUUUAUAAGUUAAAAAAUAUCUUCAUAUUUUAUAUUAAACAUCUAACACCACUUUAAUAACGUAAACUCAACAUACUCUAUCCAAUGACACCUCUCUCAUUUAAAUUGGCGUCAGACGUUCACUUCCCUUGUGAGUGAACCUAUCAUAAUUAUCAUGAGCAAAUAAAAUUUUAUCAAUUCUACAUGGAUUGAGUUGCCAGCGUUUUAAUGAGUUAGUUAUUUCUACAGAAAUAAACAAGAUUUCAGUGCAAAUUACAAGUAAAAACAGAAUUUGAGAGAAAAAAACUAUUUCCAAGUGAAAAAGACGACCAAAUUUGUUAGCUAGCCGACUCAGCUAAAUUUGAAUUUGACUGGCUUGAGCCGGCUCGAGCUAUUUACUUUUAACUGGCUUCAAGCACGUGAAGAAAUAGCUGGCUGGCUGGCUCAAUUGGCUAGCUUCGGUAUCUAUCUUGAACCUUCUUUACGCAAUUAUUCAAUGUUUAACUUACAUAGCUUAGUUGUUAUAUUUUGUUUACUUCAUUAAACGCAAUUUACUAAUUAAGUGUUCUUUGUCAAAGGUUAACCUUUGACAGUAAUGCUGAUGUUUCGUGUAAUUAGUCGACCAUGAAUCUCUAUUUGAUUGAUAUGACUAAGAAUCAACAAGCAGAUUGGCUAUUUUGAUUAUUUUAAAGUGUCUAAAUGCUGAAAUUACCUGAUAGUCCUGAUGAGCCAACCGAUUGGAAUCAAACUGACAGUAAAUGUUAAUCAAAGAAUGGAUCAAGUGCGGUGACAAUGCAGUUUCUAAGCCUGUACUGGGGUUCGAUUGUGGCUCAAGGUGUGUCAACAAAUUGAUGGCUUUCCAAGUCAACUCCUGAUCCCUCCUAAUAUUUGAUGUCUGCCAUAAUAUCAACAUGUUUGCAAUUUAACUUGGAUCGGGAUGAGAUACUUGUCAAUAGCUGGUGGAGUGAAAAGUGAUUUGUUGCUAUGGUUUUUGUUGUCCCUUGCAUGCAUAUUUGGAUCCAUGGUAUAGAAUCAGAAAGAUAACAAUCAAGUUGAAUUAAUUAUUUCCAUGAGACACAGGACUGGAAAAGCAAAAUUAUCAUUCAAUUGAUUGUUUUUCCGAGAAAACACAAAAAAUGUUAAUAUUUCUCUAUUAACAUGCAAAUGUAAAUGAUGGACAUCAGCAAAAAAGAUAUCAGUUAGUAUUAAUGUGAUGAUAAGUUGAAUGUCCGUUUGAAAUGUAAUUAUCAACAUGAAAAGUUAAAUCAUCUUGGAAACCAGAAAAAAACCAGAAGUAAACCGAAACUUAAUUACAAACGUUUUCUUAUUCCAAUCAAAAGUAAUUCGAUUCUUGGAUGGUGUGAACGGAUUCCUACCAAUCUUGGAAAACUCAUUAAAUAGUUAAUCGAAAAGGUGAUUUCUGUAUUGGAAGACAUUUACCGAGUUUACGAGUGCAGUUAUUAUUGUCACAAUUGGACACAACUUUCAAUUGCAACAAAUGUAACCUGAAUCAUCGUUAUUCAAUCACUUAUCAGAAACCCUUUUGAUAGUCAAUGAAUGGAGUAAUUAAAAUCAGCUGGAAGCCAUUUUUAGUGCGGUCACCACUUUGGAUGAAAGAAAAACGUAAAUUGGUUAAUUCAACUCUAUUAUCAAAUUGAUUUGGUGAUUAGAAUGUUUUUUUCUCUCUCGACUGAUUAUUGAGCUUUUAUGUUAGCUUUUUACUUUCUAUUGCUACAUUAAACUGUUAAAUGCGGUUUAAUCAAAUUGGUCCGGUUAAGGUGAUGGUGAUUAAAAUGGCUGACCAAUCAUCGAUUGAAUCAAUUGCCUUAAUCCAGGCUGAUUGUUGCGCAACCUUACUGAUUACAUGUUAAUCCAAAUUUCCCUUUUUAUUUAUAAAUAUGCAGUUACUUUAAUCUCAUCGUGAUGACGAUACGGACGACGCUGAUGAUGAUAUUGAUGAAACAGGAAGAUGAUUGGAGGAAGUAAAAAAACUGUCAAUGUCAGUGAGAAAAGAAGGAACUGGAUUAACUAUUAUUGUUGAAUCAUUUAUUGGUUUAACGUUGUUGCUGUUUUUGUUGCCAAUGAUGAUCAGAGUGAUGUUAAUAUCGCAUUUAAGUGAUAAUUGAGCUAAAUUGACCAUCACUUUAUGGUAAAGUUGAGCUUUUUUUUGAACAGCAUAAAAAACAAACCAAAAAAGAUGAGAGCAUAAAACUGGUUCACUCAAUAAGCCAUCAAAUGUGACUAAGUUAUUAACUAUCUAUAACUACGCUCACAAUAAUUGUCAAUAAUUGUCAACAAUUGUUCAACUAUUUUGCUUUUAUUUGGUAAUAUCUUGAGAAAAGAGUAAAUACCUUGAACAUGGCGAUGAUGAUUUCAAGAGGAUCAACUCAUCACCAUUUCUGGUUUGAAAUUUCGUGUUGCUUCAAAAGAAUGGCAAUUUUCAAGUUGACGCCUUUUUUGAACUACUUUUUAGGUGAAAAUGAUUUGUUUUGUUUUUUUUGAUUAAUACAAUUACUCGUUCAACAACAUUAUCGUCAUCUUGAUCUUAAUUGUAAACCUACAAUGAUUAAUGUGAUUCCUAAUUGAACAAUGAUUCUACUUUUGGUUUGUUUUUCUUGGUGUUUUGUAGUUUGAUUCAAGUUGAUUGUUACGACGAAUUGGUCGAAUUAGGUUGAUAGCUUUAAGGCUCAUGCAGAGAAUCAUCAUUGCCAGUCCAAUCUUUGAUUGGAUUUUCAUGUUGAACAUAUUCAUUGCCAAUCAAAUUACUGAGAUGCUGGUUAAUUACUUGGAAAAUUAGAAGAUGAGCAAAAAAUGGGACUGGUUGGAAGCUCAUUUUUGACUUUCUUUUGGGUGUUUUUGAUUGCAUAUGAUUGGAUUUUAUCCUCAACUUACCCUGCUUUCUCUGAUUGCUCUCAAUUACUGACUCUUCAUUAUUUGAUUUGGCAAUUAAACCUCUAAAUCUAAGAAUGAAUUCAUUUUUUCUUGACAUUAACUUUGAAUUUACACAAAUAACAAUUGAGAAUUGUUCAUUAAAUUUCUUUUUGUUCC